rnacentral:sRNA from 1 species
AGGCAACCAUUCAGAUGUAACUGAUUUCAUUCUUGAAGGCUUCAGGGUCCGCCCAGAGUUCUACAUUCUCCUCUUCUUCCUGUUCCUGCUGGUCUAUAGCAUGGUUCUUUUGGGGAACAUUAGUGUGAUGACAAUCAUUGUAACUGACUCCCAGCUGAACACACCAAUGUAUUUUUUUCUAGGCAACCUCUCCUUCAUUGACAUCUCCUACUCCACUGUUAUUGCUCCUAAAGCCAUGGCCAACUUCCUGUCUGAAAAAAAGACAGUCUCUUUUGCAGGUUGUGUUGCCCAGUUAUUCCUUUUUGCCCUGUUCAUUGUAACAGAGGGGUUUAUCCUGGCAGCCAUGGCCUAUGACCGCUUCAGUGCCAUCUGCAAUCCUCUUCUUUAUAGUGUUCACAUGUCAAGACGCCUCUGCACUCAGUUGGUUGCUGGUUCUUAUUUCUGUGGCUGGGUCAGUUCCAUCCUCCAAGUCAGUGUAACAUUCUCAGUUUCCUUCUGUGCUUCCAGAGUCAUUGAUCACUUCUACUGUGAUUCUCAUCAAAUUGAAAAGAUUUCCUGUUCUAAUCUCUUUGUCAAUAAGAUGGUAUCUCUGAGUUUGAGUGUCAUCAUUAUUUUGCCUACAAUUGUUGUUAUUAUAGUAUCUUACAUGUACAUUGUAUCCUCAGUCUUGAAGAUCCCCUCCAGUGAAGGGAGAAAGAAAGCCUUUUCCACUUGCAGCUCCCAUCUGGGUGUUGUAAAUUUGCUCUAUGGGACUGUUUCCUUUGUGUACCUCACACCUCCAAGCAAUCCUGAACUUCGCAAAGUGGCUUCCGUAUUUUACAUAUUGGUUACACCCAUGUUAAACCCUCUGAUCUACUCUCUAAGAAAUAAAGAUGUCAAAGAAGCUUUGAGAAAAAUCCUGUGUAACAAAAAAGCUUUAUCCUA